rnacentral:rRNA from 1 species
GAUGAACGCUAGCGGCAGGCUUAAUACAUGCAAGUUGAGGGGCAGCAUGAUAUACGCGAGUAUAUUGAUGGCGACCGGCGGACGGGUGAGUAAUAGGUAGGAGACCUACCUCAUACAGGGGGAUAGCAUAGAGAAAUCUGUGGUAAUACCCCAUGAGGUUAUAUGAAUAGAGGCAUAUAAUCAAAGCAUAAGUGAUUAUGCGGUAUGAGAGGGGCCUACUGACCAUUAGCUAGUUGGUGAGGUAAGGGCUCACCAAGGCGAAGAUGGUUAGGGGUUUUGAGAGAGAGACCCCCCACAUUGGAACUGAGAGACGGUCCAGACUCCUACGGGAGGCAGCAGUAGGGAAUAUUGGGCAAUGGGCGAAAGCCUGACCCAGCCAUGCCGCGUGAAGGAAGACGGCCUUAGGGUUGUAAACUUCUUUACUACGCGAAUAGAGGUUAGUACGAGAUACUAAUAGGAAGGUAGUGUAGUAAAAGCACCGGCUAACUCCGUGCC